GCCAUUGACUCUUGUGCUGACCAUCUUUGUGUUUUGGCAUGUUUAUCUUAUUCUGCAAAACAAGACCACAAUAGAGUACCAUGAAGGUGUGAGAGCUAUGUGGCUUGCUGAAAAAGGAGGUUAUCUGUAUUCACAUCCAUAUGAUCUUGGUGCUUAUGAGAAUAUGAUAUCAGUUUUAGGACCACAUAUCUUUUGC